CUAACUGCUUUUUUGUGGCACUCGGGCAUUCACUAAGCUGCCCGCACUGCAUGUGUCACUGCCCACAGUUCCUUGGUGAGUGUGGAGAAGUCUUGUGUGGAGAAGUUUUGAAGGAGAGGUCAUCAGUUCUUGAAGAUGCAGUGUGAGCCUCAACAAAACAUUUUCUCUGCCAUCUUUUGCCUAGCCCUUUUUCAGCUUAACUUCCCGUGUCCUGAUGGAGGCUUUCGAAGCUUAGUGACAGAUUUAAUGGAAAGUCCAAUUUCAUAAUUCCAAGCCCUUGACUUCCUUGUAUGUUGGUCUGCCCCUCCUCACUGCUGUGGGAAAGGAUGACCUGCGUCAUGUCGUUAUGAAAGAAAACACAGAGAAUUAACUAGGCUUCAAAAUGAAAGUGAGGAAGAAGAGUCCUGGAAAGUAUUAAUUUGAACAGGAAUAAUUGUUGGAUGGGAACUCAUCAAUUUGAAGAGGUAUACGUGCAGAAAGAUUUGGAGCUUUCAUGAUUGAGGACUGCUAAAUAAAGUGGCCAUGAAAAAGACAAAUCCAGGCCUGGGAUGCAUCAGACAGAGGAAGUCCAAGAG